UUUUGCUUUGAAUUGAGCAUGACAGGCAAAAGACAGGCUUGUAAAUGUCGGAAGUAUCACACAUUCUUACCCUUUUUGUUGGAGGUCUGACACUCCUCUUAUUUACAGGGCUGUCCCAAGCUGGUUCGUCGCUGUGGAAAAGAUUAAAGAUCAAUUACUGGAAUGUAACAAACAGACAUACUGGGUUCCCGAAUAUGUCAAGG